AUUUAAGUGAUGAAGCUAGAACAGGUAUAACAAGUUACCAGUUAGGCUUAUUGGCAAUCAAGCCAUUGCAUUGGCUUGAUAUUACCGUUAUCAUAGGUGAGUAUCUGAGGAAUACAGGGGGACUUUUUAAUAGAAUAGAAACCAAUUCUGCCCAGAUUGCAGAACUGAAAGAAAUGUGUAGUAUGUAUGUUAACUUGAUGUCUUUGCUUUUUUCAUCCAGUUAAACGGAAGUUGCAUAAGCAC